ACUUGUUGGCACAACUAGUGUUGAGCAGAGUGAUUCAUUGUCUGAGCAUUUGCAAGAAGUUGGCAUUCCCCAUGAGGUUCACAACUAGAGCAGGAGAGAGACCUGGAGGGUGCAGCAGCUAAACAUAAGAGAAAGCAGGCUUCAUCAAACUUUGAACAGACCUCUAGUAUAGAUGUUGGCGGUAGAGGCUCAUAAAGGAUAUACCCAACAACAAUUUGACGAGGUGUGCAUUGAAGUGGCCGACUAACAGACUUUGCUGUAGAUUCUGACUACUUUCAUGAUUUUGAGUAAGGCUAGUUAGCUUUUGUUUAACAUUUUUGUAGUAGAUGAAAUGAAUGCAGCAAUUAUGAACAAAAAUGUAAUAGUAAUUGCUUGCCUAGCCUUGUAGUAGGUUAAUUGGGGUUUUUGUUUUGCCUAUUUUGUGAACUGUCAAUGAUGAUGAUUUUGG
rnacentral:lncRNA from 1 species